AACAAAAUGUUUUUCCGAACCUUAACAUCACCCGAAUAUCAAGUUUGUUCUCUGAAAAACCCGGACUGGAUAAGAAAAACCUGGUAAACAACUAGGCUGCACCACAGUCAACCUUUUUAGCAUCAUGCGAAAGCCGGAUGUGACUUUGGGAUCGUUUCCCAACCGCUUUGGGAAGAAGGCUUGGGAUGUCUUCUUUAGAAGAUUCUAUAUGCUAUAGGAUCCCGUGGAACCAUCGAGGCAGUGAAAAGUACGGAAAAGUCUUCCGUACUAAACACUUUGUGCUGGUUCUGGAGCUACCAAUUGGCCGAGUGAUUGUCGCAGUUGGCCAAUAUCGAACUGACAUAACCCACCCCAAAUAUAAUGUUGCUUUUCGGAGGAGCAUCACCAGCUGACCAGCUGUGACAUGGAUUGAACGCAUUUCGUAUGACUCCGAGCAAAAACUGUUCGGACCGGGGCCCAACAUGACUGGAUCUUAAGAGCAUGUCAUAAUUUGCACAGGAAGCUAAUCCGGCGUUCAUUCGGGUGCAGUAUUCUUGAAACAAGACGCCGCCGGAUUUCAAUCAGCGAAAUACAAUCGCAAGGGUAAAUAAGUCGGAAGCAAAGGAUCAUCAAUAUCUUUAACGAUUUUUGCUGGAACAACUUCAAUGCGGUGCGGAAAAAUUACAAGGAGAAAAGAAUCUACCAAGCGUUUGAAAAACCAUAAGAUAUAAUUUCGAUGGAGCUAAUCAGCCGCAUUCCCGUUGAGUUAAGAGCAGGCUAAAAGAAAAGGAAACUGCGUGCGACAUCAACAGAGAUCGGUGAGUGCCGGAUUAUAUCCAAGAUUGGAUCGAGGAUUGGAUGGAUUUAUCGAAGGAGGAGACAGACACGGAUUUGUUCAAGAAUGAAGGUUUGCAACGGAAACAAGCACGUGGGAGCAAAACGGAGUGCUGUUAUUCUCGUAUCAAGAGUUAAUUCUCUUACCGAUGCUGCUGCUGGAAUACAAUCAAAGAUUUGGAUUUGAAGGAUAUUUUCCUCCGUUCUUGUGUCUGGUGCGUUUGAUGUCUGUAUGUUCCUGAGGCCCGGAAUUGCAUUCCGUCAAACUUGGUUCAUAAUUCAUUUGUCGUCAAGCCUGUGACCCGAGACCUGCUGCUGUCGACAUGUGAUUCACCAUUCGGAUCUGGUACAUAUUCUGCACUGUGUUGAUGCUGCUACCGUGCUACCAAGAUUAUUUCGGUCUUGGAUCCGGUAUU